rnacentral:rRNA from 1 species
UACGUAGGGACCGAGCGUUGUCCGGAUUCAUUGGGCGUAAAGAGCUCGUAGGCGGCUGUUCAAGUCGAACGUGAAAACUCGGGGCUCAACUCCGAGCCUGCGUUCGAUACUGGAUGGCUAGAGUCUGGUAGGGGGAUCUGGAAUUCCUGGUGUAGCGGUGAAAUGCGCAGAUAUCAGGAAGAACACCAAUGGCGAAAGCAGCUCUCUGGGACGGUACUGACGCUGAGACGCGAAAGCGUGGGGAGCGAACAGG